rnacentral:rRNA from 1 species
UACGUAGGGGGCAAGCGUUAUCCGGAUUUACUGGGUGUAAAGGGAGCGUAGACGGUAUGGCAAGUCUGAUGUGAAAACCCGGGGCUCAACCCCGGGACUGCAUUGGAAACUGCCGGACUAGAGUGUCGGAGAGGCAAGUGGAAUUCCUAGUGUAGCGGUGAAAUGCGUAGAUAUUAGGAGGAACACCAGUGGCGAAGGCGGCUUGCUGGACGAUGACUGACGUUGAGGCUCGAAAGCGUGGGGAGCAAGCAGG